AUUCAUUCCGCACGCAUUCAUUGAACCGGCGACCUGGGCCAGGCUCCUUCCCAGGCUCCGGCAUGGAGCAGUGACCAAGAUCAAGUGGCUCCCUGAGCUGAUGGCGCUGCAGGGGAGAGAGUCUUAAGAAAACAAAGAAGAAAAAUAGGGAAAAAUUUCUUCAGAAGAUUAAAGGUGUGAUGUGAUGGUGACAAGGUGGUCUUUUAUUGGAUUGUCAGGGGUGCCCUGAGAAGGUGACAUUUGAGUUGAGAUUAGUGACAUGAAGCCAAGCUUGUGAAAACUAUGGGAGGAGCAUUGCAAUUAGCGGGAACAGUUUGUUAAGUAAAAUUUAUAGGAGGCAGGGCCGGGUGCAGAGGCCCACACCUGUAAUCCCAGCACUUUGGAGGACAAGGCGGAAGGAUCACUGGAGCCCAGGAGUUCGAGACCAGUCUGGGCAACAAUGGGGAGACCCUGUCUCUACAAAAAAUAGAAAAAAUUAGCCCACCGUGGUGGCGUACACCUCUGGUCCCACCUACUUGGGAGGCUGAGGCAGGAGAAUUGCUUGAAUCCAGGAAGUGGAGGCUGCAGUGAGCUCAGAAAGUAACACUUCAUUCCAGCCUGGGCAACAGAGCAAGACUCCGUCUCAAAAAAAAAAAAAAAUUGGAGGCCAUUGGUUUGAACAGGGCUCCUGCACCAAGCCCAACAGAACCAAAAUGGAGUCACUCAUGCUAAAGUUCUACAUCACCAAGUGGAAACUAAGUUGUUUAUCUGAUAUUCCGAUAAAUCAGAAGAGUGAGAGAUAGCUAGAUCUCCAAACCAUCCUGUUUUAGCUGGCAGGAUAAGGAAGUCCCCUCUGCUUUAGCCUUCAAAGUUACAAGGAAAGUAACUUUGAAACAACCAAUCUUUUUGUUUUCUGUUUCUGCUUUCCUCAGCCCUUUUCUGGCUGUAAAACCAAUCUCCUCUGCUCAGCUCAUUUGAACACUCAUUCCAUUUUAUAGAAUGAAGUGUUGCCCGAUUCUAGAGUUGCAAAUAAAAGUCAGAUUUAACAAAUUUGGCAAAAAAAAGUCAAAUCACCAAUUAAAAGUUAAAUUUUUUCUUUUCACAGUUCAUGCAAAGAACCUGGGGGAAAUGACCUUGACAAUUUAGGAACACAGGAAAGGCCAGGGAAGCUGGGGAGAGUGGUAUAACAAGAGGCCAGAGAGGAAGCAGGAACCAGAGCAUAUAGGGCUUUGUGAGCCAAGGUAAGGAGUUUAGAUUUCAUGGUUAGGAGUGCAGCCUCCGGAUACAGUGCCUAGGUUCAAAUCUACUCCUGGCUAAUUGUGACUUUGGGCAAGUUAGUAUCUUCUCUGUGCCUCAGUCUUCUCAUCUAGUACUAGAAGUGCUAUGACAGGCUAUUGAAAGGGAGCGAAGUGAUUUGAUUUACUUGUAGAGACAGGUUCUCACCCUGUCAUCCAGGCUGGAGUGCAGUGGUGUGAUCAUAGCUCACUGCAGCCUCAACUACCUGGGCUCAAGUGAUCCUCCUACCCAAGCCUCAAGAAUAGCUGGGACUACAGGCACACGCCACUGUGCCCCACCUGAUUUACAUUUUUUAAAAGUCACUCUGUAUAGCCUUGGAAAAAUUACUUUCUUCCUCAGCCUCAAUUUGCUUGUUAUGAAAACAAAAAAUUAGGCCUUUCUCAGAGAACUGUAAGAUUUAAGUGACCUUCAUUAAUGUGUGAAAGCAUCUGGCACAGAGAAGAAGCUCAGUAAAUUAGGCUUCUUGGCUGGGGGUGGUGGCUCACACCUGUAAUCCCAACACUUUGGGAGGCCAAGGCAAGAGGACUGUUU
rnacentral:lncRNA from 1 species